AUAUAUAUACACACACACACACACACACACACACACACAGACACACCAUUGACACCAGUUUCUAAAUUAUCAUUAAAAAUCUACACCCUUAUGGAGAAAAUGCGAUAUUUACUUUUGCGCUCCAUUGGUACACACCUAAUAUUUUUUUUUUUUAUGUAUUUUUUUAUUUUCUCCCCUUUUCUCCCCAAUUUGGAAUGCCCAAUUUCCAAUGUGCUCUAAGUCCUCGUGGUGGCGUAGUGACUUCGCGUCUGAGACAGUCAAUCCGCGCAUCUUAUCACGUGGCUUGUUGAGCACAGUACCGUGGAGACCUAGCGCAUGUGGAGGCCCACGCUAUUCUCCACUGCAUCCAUGCACAACUCACCACGUGCCCCACCGAGAACGAGAACCACAUUAUAGAGACCACGAGGAGGUUAACCCAGCGUGACUCUACCCACCCUAGCAACCGGGCCAAUUGGUUGCUUAGGAAGCCUGGCUGGAGUCAUACAGCUAAUGAUUAAAGAAAGAUUUAAAAAAAGCAGUGGAUAUUUCUUAUGAUUCUUCACGCUGGAAUUCUGGAAGAAACUGCACCCUCCUUUUGUCCUUCGGGUCAUAUUUGACCCAUAUUGAGGAGAUAUAGCACGUGUGGAGGCUUCACGCCAUCCACCGCGGCAACCACGCUCAACUCACCACGCACCCCACCGAGAACGAACCACAUUAUAGUGACCACGAGGAGUUUACCCCAUGUGACUCUACUCUCCCUAGCAACCAGGCCAAUUUGGUUGCUUAGGAGACCUUGCUGGAGUCACUCAGCACGCCCUGGGAUUCGAACUAGGGAACUCCAGGGGUGGAAGGGAGUAACCAUAUUUAAAAAAAUUUAAAAUUAUUAUUAUUAUUUAUUUUUUUACGUGGCAAACAUUGGUCAAGGAUAUUUUUUUAGGAAGGUGCUGUAACAGAUAUUUCUGCAAUCUGAUGUUUUAGGAGUAAAUUAUAUUCAAUAGGUCUUUUACCAUUGGCAGGGCUUUAGCCCCAUUGUACACCAUCAUAUAGAAUCAUGUUAGUAUAUGUAUUUACUAACAUAUUACCGGUUGAAAACUGUAAACUACUCUCUACAUCCUCACUAAUAUAGUAAAACCAAUGUGUGUGUGUGUGUGUGUGUGUGUGUGAGUGUGUUUGAGUUCUGGUUGUGUUUAGGAUUCCUAUACGGCUUUAACAGUCUUCUACAUUUCAAAGGGUUGUUUACCGAGCAUACUACACACUCACACUGGCUGUUUUUAAAUCACUCCUUCAGUGUGGCAGUGUAAACAAACAUUAGUUUGGCCUGUGUUACACACACUUUGGAAUAACACACACACAGAGAGGGCUUCAAACACAUGGCCAUACACACACUGUCAUCUGUCUUAAAACACAGACCAUCCAUCACAGCAGCGGAGUCGAUGUGUCUGACACACACACUCUCACUUUUAACACCACUAAACACACACAUACACACUGAGGUGAUUUGAAGCAGCCAAGAGAAAACACAUCGAUUCGAUGCGCUGGAUGAUGAUGUCAUACCACGCACAGCCUGGAGACGCCCGCUUAAUACCUGUGACGGACUGUGUGUGUAAUAUAUGAAUCAGUUAUUCUGCAUGACAUUCUAUUGGGUCCAAAAUUCUGAGACCACAACAGAAAUGUAACAUUUUUCAUUAGACAUUAUAUUAUCAGCAUAACAAUGAGUAUAAAGUUGAACUGAAAAAUACACAAUCAUUUGCGAAUGUCUUAGUAUUUGGUAUGAGUCUUUUUUGCAUUAAUGACAGCACAAACUGGAGCUGAACAUGAACAAAACCUGAUGAUCAUGUCAUGACAUUUAUUUAUUUUUUUCCUUUUCUCCCUAAUUUGGAAUGCCCAAUUCCCAAUGUGCUUUUUUAAGUCCUCGUGGUGGUGUAAUGACUCGCCUCAAUCCGUGUGGCGGAGGACGAAUCCCAGUUGCCUCCGCCUCUGAGACCGUCAACCCGCGCAUCUUAUCAUGUGGCAUGUUGAGCGCGUUGCCACGGAGACAUAGCGUGUGUGGAGGCUUCACGGCAUCCACCGCGGCAACCACGCACAACUCACCACGCGCCCCACCGAAAACAAACCACAUUAUAGCGACCACGAGGAGGUUACACCAUGUGACUGUACCCUCCCUAGCAACCGGGCCAAUUUGGUUGCUUAGGAGACCUGGUUGGCGAACUCCAGGGGUGGUAGCCAGCGUAUUUUACCACUGAGCUACCCAGACCCCCAUUUGUUUUAUUUUUGACAAAAUUCUAAAAACGUAGAAAUCCCAGAUUUUCAAUGUGGACUGAGACGUUUGGACACCACUCUACAGAAAACUAAUUUUCUAUACAGCGAACACGUUAACGAGCCCCAGAGAGAGGAAAUGAGAGUGUAACAGUAUUUUCUAUGUUCAUUGAUGUCUUGUUAAAGUUUAUUUAAUAGUGUAUACUGUACAGUAUAUUGUUAUUGUUACUGUUUAAUUAAUAAUAUUAUUUGUGUGUGUGUGUGUGUGUGUGUGUGUGUGUGUGUAUAUUGAUGCUUUGACAAUAUUGUGUGUAAACACAAUCAUGCCAAAUAAGUACUUUGAAAUUGACCCCUUAAUGGACUUCAAAGCAAAAAGUGUCAUCUAGGACAGGGGUUUUCAAACUGGGGUCCGGAGACCCCCAGGGGGCCGCAAGGGGGUGCUUGGGUUCCGAAAAAAAUAAAAAUAAAUAAAUAAAUAUAUAUAUAUAUAUAUAUAUAUAUAUAUAUAUAUAUAUAUAUAUAUAUAUAUAUAUUGUUCAGAGCAAAGGUAUUAUUAUUAUUAUUAUUAUUAUUAGACAUUAUAACAGUUUAAUGUAUUCAGACACUGUACAGAAACGGGUUUGUUACUGUAUUUUAUAAUGAAAUAAGUGUUUAAUUUGCCGUGUUUGCCAAGAAUAGCCUCACCGUUACUAUUAUUCAUAGUUGGAUUAGCGAUUCAAACAAACCUCAAACCCAUGUAUCAUUAUUUGUCAUGGAAAUAAAGCACAUUAAACUGA